rnacentral:rRNA from 1 species
CCUACGGGAGGCAGCAGUGAGGAAUAUUGGUCAAUGGGCGUAAGCCUGAACCAGCCAAGUCGCGUGAGGGAUGAAGGUUCUAUGGAUCGUAAACCUCUUUUAUAAGGGAAUAAAGUCUGGGGUGUGUCCUGUUUUGUAUGUACCUUAUGAAUAAGGAUCGGCUAACUCCGUGCCAGCCGCCGCGGUACUACGGAGGAUCCGAGCGUUAUCCGGAUUUAUUGGGUUUAAAGGGUGCGUAGGCGGCCUUUUAAGGCAGCGGUGAAAGUCGGUGGCUCAACCAUAGAAUUGCCGUUGAAACUGGGAGGCUUGAGUAUGGUUGAGGCAGGCGGAAUGCGUGGUGUAGCGGUGAAAUGCUUAGAGAUCACGCAGAACCCCGAUGGCGAAGGCAGCCUGCCAGGCCAUGACUGACGCUGAUGCACGAAAGCGUGGGGAGCAAACAGGAUUAGAUACCCCAGUAGUC